rnacentral:rRNA from 1 species
ACGGAAGGCAGCAGUGGGGAAUAUUGCACAAUGGGCGAAAGCCUGAUGCAGCGAUGCCGCGUGAGGGAAGAAGGUUUUAGGAUUGUAAACCUCUGUCUUAGGGGACGAUAAUGACGGUACCCUAGGAGGAAGCUCCGGCUAACUACGUGCCAGCAGCCGCGGUAAUACGUAGGGAGCAAGCGUUGUCCGGAAUUACUGGGUGUAAAGGGAGUGUAGGCGGGACUGCAAGUCAGGUGUGAAAACUAUGGGCUUAACCCAUAGACUGCACUUGAAACUGCGGUUCUUGAGUGAAGUAGAGGUAAGCGGAAUUCCUAGUGUAGCGGUGAAAUGCGUAGAUAUUAGGAGGAACAUCAGUGGCGAAGGCGGCUUACUGGGCUUUAACUGACGCUGAGGCUCGAAAGCGUGGGGAGCAAACAGGAUUAGAUACCCUGGUA